GACAGAGGCCUCAAGCGUUAGGCGGAAUCACUGGGCUUAAAGCGUGUGUAGGCGGGCCGUUAAGUGCCUUGUGAAAUCCCACGGCUUAACCGUGGAAUUGCUCGGCAUACUGGCGGUCUUGAGCCACCUAGGGGCAAGCGGAACAAACGGUGGAGCGGUGAAAUGCGUAGAUAUCGUUUGGAACGCCGAAGGUGAAAACAGCUUGCUGGGGGUGUGCUGACGCUGAGACACGAAAGCCAGGGGAGCAAACGGG
rnacentral:rRNA from 1 species